GCUCUUUCCCGGGAAGGAUGAAAUCUGACCCCUAGGCUUUAAAUGUACAUGUUAACUUUCCCAGAUACUGCUUUAGAUAGCAGGACAUGUAGCAUAGUUGUCUACCUCUUCUUCUGAAGGUGGAACAUAAAAUAAACAGAAGUAGAAAAGUCAAGGAGAAAGAGUUAGCAGACAGGCAGCUGACUUAGCGUGCCAGGAAAGAUAUUUCCUUGCAAGUAACUUGGUUUCAACUCCUUAAUUUCUUAUUCAGCUAAUUCUGAAUGGAAACCAAACAAGCCUUUGCUGAGGCAAGAAUUAAGUCUCGUUAAACCAGACUAGUCUUUGUUUGGUAGGUCAGAACAUAUUCAAACUCUUAUAAAUCUUUCAGCCUUAUGCAUAGUGAUUCAACUUGAAUAAGUGGAUUGAGCUUGCCCCAUACUUGCUUCAUUUCUCACCUAUUAUGUUGCCGCAGAACCAGGUUGCAACCAGCAAAGGAAUCAUCAAUUCAGACGAUCAAUAUAUGCAACUGUGAAAAGUAACCGCUCAUGUUUAGUCUUUGCAGAGCCCAAGACACUCUACAUCUUCAACUAGGAUAACACAGGACUGCCAGAGGCAGGACACAGAGCAGAGAAAUGCUUGAGGUUUAACACAUUAUGCUUGACACUCUGGCAUCAAGUAAGAUGACUCAACAUUUUAAGGAAUGACUCAACCUGGAAAAGCACAAGAACCACUGAUAUGUCAAGACAUUAUUUCAAGCUCAACUUAAGCAACACAACCUGUCAAAACUGUUCAAAUUAAAUUUGCCACUCUGCAACUAAUCAUUCAUGCUUAGAUUUAGUACUGUUUACAGUUGUAUUGCUUACAGAACUUGUGGCUUCUGCACACAGGAUGGUAAUCUAGAUUGCUGACUAGCAAAAUAAAGGUGAUAGUGAAGUGGUUAGUAGGUUAGGUUCAGUAAAUUGUCUUCAGGUCAUGCUGUGAUUCUAUGAUUCUCCUGCCUAAUUUACUCAUGAAAGUUGUACUGGAGUGGAAGCUCAGUAUGAGGGAAUACCAUCAGGCAACACCAUGUCUGUGAUAUAUCUGUUGGAGUUCCAGAUGUGGAAAGGCUGAUAAACCCACUGGAUACUGUCUACUACCUUAGGGAAGUAAGGAAAAAGAAAAAGGGACUCCAAUAUAAGGGUUCUGCCAUCUUUAAUAGUAGAAAAAUGCCCUAGAGAAGAGCUCCUAAAUAGGUGGGAGAAAAUAUUUUACCAUCAGAGAUUUGAAGAUCUCUGAAAAUGAAGACACAACAGCAAUAGAUUUUCAAGGAGAAACUACCUUGAAGUAACAGAGUGUUUAAUUUAUCAAAUAAGAACAUAAUAAAAACCUAUGGCUGAAAGGUGGAAGGAGAGACAUUCAAAUGAAGAAUCAGGUAUAGGCAACUUCCUGAAGAAGCACUGAUCAAGACAUUUGCCACCAAACCAAAGCCAGAAUAGAAUGUUAAUGUUCUCUGAGAAUGAUUGGAUUAGAAAACCUAACACAUCUUCAUGCCAUGAGGAUCUGCAAAGUCUUCUCUCUUAUUCCAGUGGCAUAAAGUAUGAACAUGGUCCCUCAGCAACUUUGGUGAGAUAGAAGGGGUAAAGCAAAGGCAGGAAGGAUUCAGGAAAAGAAGCAGAGUGAAAAUUUAGGAUGACAGGAAAAAAGGCUUCAUUUGAGAGAUCAGAAUCCCCCUUUCUUUCCCAUGACUGCUUCCUUGUACUCUCCUUGGCAAAACACUUAGAAGAGGUAAUGCUGAUCCUUCUUAGUAAACUAAAUAGCUCCAGAACGUAUUCACAAGCACUGAAAUCUGAUAAUCUAUAAUAUUAAACUGUGCAAAUAGGAGGAAUUUGGCUUUGGGUAUCUAGCCAUCACCCAAACCGUUAGCAAAUCUGGAAAAUUCAAGGACCCAUGCAUCCUCCUUGCUUGUGGAGUUAAGGGAGUUCAAUACUGUGGACAUGGGUCAUUCUAUGCCACCUAGUCUCAGUGCCAGAGAAUUAGUUUAAGCAUGUUUAAUUUACUAGUACAGACACAAUUCUUGUUUCCUGAAGCUGUGGUAAUUACCCAAGGAGAUAUAAGCCGGUUUGAUUUAACUUACUGUAUACUUAAUAGUUUUUUGGAAAAGAUAAAGGAUUGAAGAUAAAAGUCUGGGACUUUGCUCAUGCUUGACAUUCUUCUCAGAACUCUGAAGAUAUGUACUAGACUACAAUUUUUGUUUGAAAGUCAUCUGAACAGUUUUGCAAGGUUUCAUCAUCUUGUAUUGUCUGACUGUUGGAAUACACCCACUGAAGUACGAAUCUCCCACAUUUUUUACCUGGAAAAAAUUCUGCACAACCAUUGUAGGGCCUUUUUCCCAAGGCGGCAAAAUCUUAAGCCCAGGAAAGGAAAGCAAGAUUCAUUUCCUUCAAGUGAGGAGCUCUCUGACUUCGAGCUAUCCUUAUGUGUGCUCAUCCAUGUGAGAAGAAGAGGUGAUCUACAGGGACUAUUCAAGUGAGAUUGCCCACAGUUCAUGAUGAAGGAAAUCGGUCCAUAUACUUUCUGAAUCCAACAUAUGAAGAUCAUUGCUGUUCAAACUUGGCCCUGACCUUGAGAUACGAGACCUUCCUGUGGGUUGCUGAAGGAGACCCAUAUCGAUGGCAGGAGCUGUAGAGCAUGUUGUCUUGCAGUGCUAAUUGCAUUCUAAGUGGCUGAAGACAUAAAAACACACGUGCACGCUGAAUACCUUUCUUGUCUGAAAGAUUACCAAAAGAACACAGAUCGUAUUAAGAAAUGUGGCAUGCAGGGUAUUUUACCUGCAGUGUUUGUGAUUAGAGUUCUAAUGCUGUACUGGUUUUAAGCGUGACAAUUUCAUUUCUACAUUGCAACGACUUCAGUCAAUGACGAGGAAAGAAAGAAAGUAGGAAAAUACCCAACAAAAUGAUUAUUUAACAAGAGAGAAGACAAAAUAUUCAGUCCUAACUCAAGAAAGGAAAAAAAGGCACACGAGCAGAUGCUAUACUGUGCUAGAAGUGCAAGCUUGUUGUUAUGAUUAUUUUUAAAUAACAAACAAAAUAGCAAAACAUUUUUUCUCCAUCAUAAAAACUGACUUUGA
ensembl:lncRNA